rnacentral:tRNA from 1 species
AAGAAAUUAGUUAAAAUAUAACAUUAAUUUGUCAAAUUAAAAUUAUUUAAAAAAUAUAUCUUA